CCCUGUUAAUUUCUUCUUGUGUGCAUUAUCUGUUCACACAUUUGCAGGAAGGACAAUGCUUGGGUCGAGGAUCAGCCACCAUUCAGCUCAGGACUCAGAGGCUCUGGGGUGACCUGUGGCUGGCCAGAGUCUCCUCUGUGCUACUCAAAGUGGGAACCCAGACUUCGGGAAGCUCAAGAGUGAGACAGGGUAAAAAGACUUGUGGAGAGAGAUGCAAGAAUAACCAGCCUACCCUAAAUGGUGGUACUUGGAGCUGUUUAAGGAUUGCCCCCCAAGUACGGUGAGAGGAGAUGGUAUGCAAACAAGAAUUUAGAAAACUAUGACUAAUGUAGUCUGGCGGGAAUCAACAGUAGGGAGGGGAUCCAGUAGAAAUUUGCAAAAAGUUGCAAACUAUUUCUCUAACUUAAUCUUUCACAAUUAAUAAUUAAAAUCAUUUUACUGUGUAUUCUCCCUUAAGUUAAAUUCAAUCAGUCUUUCAUUAGGAAAUAUAUACAUAACACCUACAGAGGAAUACUUUGUUAUAAUUCAC
rnacentral:lncRNA from 1 species